GAUGAAGAACGCAGCGAAAUGCGAUACGUAAUGUGAAUUGCAGAAUUCAGUGAAUCAUCGAGACUUUGAACGCACAUUGCGCCCCCUGGUAUUCCGGGGGGCAUGCCUGUCCAAGCGUCAUUGCUGCCCUCAAGCACGGCUUGUGUGUUGGGCCUCCGUCCUCCUCCCGGGGGACGGGCCCGAAAGGCAGCGGCGGCACCGCGUCCGGUCCUCGAGCGUAUGGGGCUUCGUCACCCGCUCUUGUAGGCCCGGCCGGCGCUUGCCGACACAUCAAUCUUUUUUCCAGGUUGACCUCGGAUCGGGUAGGGAUACCCGCUGAACUUAAGCAUAUCAAUAAGCGGAGGA
rnacentral:misc_RNA from 1 species